rnacentral:rRNA from 1 species
AUUGAACGCUGGCGGCAGGCUUAACACACGCAAGUCGAGCGGAGAGAGGUAGCUUGCUACUGAUCUUAGCGGCGGACGGGUGAGUAAUGCUUAGGAAUCUGCCUAUUAGUGGGGGACAACAUUUCGAAAGGAAUGCUAAUACCGCAUACGUCCUACGGGAGAAAGCAGGGGUUCUUCGGACCUUGCGCUAAUAGAUGAGCCUAAGUCGGAUUAGCUAGUUGGUGGGGUAAAGGCCUACCAAGGCGACGAUCUGUAGCGGGUCUGAGAGGAUGGUCCGCCACACUGGGACUGAGACACGGCCCAGACUCCGACGGGAGGCAGCAGUGGGGAAUAUUGGACAAUGGGCGCAAGCCUGAUCCAGCCAUGCCGCGUGUGUGAAGAAGGCCUUAUGGUUGUAAAGCACUUUAGCGAGGAGGAGGCUACUUUAGUUAAUACCUAGGAUGUGUGGACGUUACUCGCAGAAUAAGCACCGGCCAACUCUGUGCCAGCAGCCGCCGUAAGAC